AGAGUUUGAUCCUGGCUCAGGACGAACGCUGGCGGCGUGCUUAACACAUGCAAGUCGAGCGGAAAGGCCCUUCGGGGUACUCGAGCGGCGAACGGGUGAGUAACACGUGAGCAAUCUGCCCUUAGCUUCGGGAUAGCUCCGGGAAACCGGAAUUAAUACCGAAUAUUACUGCGGUUGACAUCAACCAUGGUGGAAAGUUUUUCGGCUAGGGAUGAGCUCGCGGCCUAUCAGCUUGUUGGUGGGGUAAUGGCCUACCAAGGCGACGACGGGUAGCCGGCCUGAGAGGGCGACCGGCCACACUGGGACUGAGACACGGCCCAGACUCCUACGGGAGGCAGCAGUGGGGAAUAUUGCGCAAUGGGCGAAAGCCUGCACGCAGCGACGCCGCGUGGGGGAUGAAGGCCUUCGGGUUGUACACCCCUUUCAGCAGGGACGAAGCGAAAGUGACGGUACCUGCAGAAGAAGC
rnacentral:rRNA from 1 species